GCGAACGUGGCCCCGCCCACUACAGGCAUCCCUUUAUGCGCCUGCGCGGCCUGCUCCCUAUGAGAGUGAACGUGGUCCCGCCCACGACAGGCAUCUCUCUCCCUCCCUUCUGCGCCUGCGCGGCCUCCUCGGCGUCACCGGAAGCUCCGUCACAGGGCGGCAAGAUGGCGGCCCGGCCCGGUCAGAGGCGUUCGGGGCGGCGUUUCCACGGUGACCCGGCAAGGAUGGUAAUCGCAAAACAAUGGAAAAGUGAGAAAGCCCCAUCGAAAGAUGCCUGGCUGACCAAAUGGACUGAAAUAAAGGAUAUGGACAAACUUACCUUCUUAAUGAGAAAGAGCAACGGAAGAGCUAUAAGAGCCACGGACUGGUCAAACUUUGAAGACUACCUUGUUACUUCAGAGAAGGGAACCAGCAAGGUUGUAUUCAGAUUUUCUGGGAAGUUGUAGUUUAGGUAAACAUAAUGAAGAUUUUACUGAUUGCAGUACAGUCUCCUUAUCUAUAGAUUUGAUAUGCAUGGUUUUACUUACUGUAGUAAACUCUCCCCUCCAAAGUGUUUGUAGGCUCUCUAUGUUCUUCACUGCAAUUCUGUGAUAUGUUUCUGGCCCAAAUAUCAGCGAAAUAUAAGGUUUACUUGCAUCCAUGGGGAUCUUAAGAAUGGGAGGUAUAUGUAAUAGUUUAACCCUUAAGCUCUUCCUCAUUAAAAAAAUUGCAGGAAAGUCUAGUUAUUUUUCCCCCUCCACAAAUGUCUUGCAGGCAUUACAUUUUUUG
rnacentral:lncRNA from 11 species